UUCGGACCUCGAGUCACAGGUGAUGACUGACGACUUUUUGAGUGUCCCUUUGCUUUGCUGGCCGUGCUCGCGAAUGGAAGUUCUGGUGUACGUGGUGUCAUAGUGUCCCGAUUCCAAGAGGUCUGAACCGUGCCAUUCCCAAAUAAACGGGCAGGGCACGCAUCGUCAUCCUCAGCGAAAAAAGGGAAUUCUGGAAUAAAUCCGAAAGCCUCGUAAUUUUGCGGACCCACUGCCACGUGCUACACUUGGACCCACACUUGAUCGAGAUUUUGGUUGGGCAGUGCUCGGUGGCGAGCUCUGCGCUGUGUCCUGCUAUAGCGGCUGUCGCCGGAUUUUUUCCUCCGUUGAAGGAGGUGUUUGGCACCGGCUGUCCCGCAGUGCCAGACGCUUGCUGCGCCCGACGGGUGCGGAGGGGGUUGAGCCGAGUGGUGGAUAGUAGCGCGCUAAUCUUAAGUAUUUUUAAUCGGUACCAACCAAACGGCCCAACGACCCAUCCCUUCUUUUUUAUUUAGUUUUU